rnacentral:tRNA from 1 species
GCUCAGGUGGUGGAAUUGGUAGACACACACGUUUAAGGGGCGUGUGCCGAAGGGCGUAUGGGUUCGAGUCCCAUCUUGAGCA